GUGCGCGUGCUAUACAUGCAGUCGAGCGCGUGAAUCAACAUGAUCCCUUCGGGGUGAUUGUUGUGGAUCGAGCGGCGGACGGGUGAGUAACACGUGGGCAACCUACCCAUGAGAUCGGGAUAACUCCGGGAAACCGGAGCUAAUACCGAAUAAUUCAAUGAACCGCAUGGUUCGUUGGUAAAAGGCGGUUUUGCCGUCACUCAUGGAUGGGCCCGCGGCGCAUUAGCUAGUUGGUAAGGUAACGGCUUACCAAGGCGACGAUGCGUAGCCGACCUGAGAGGGUGAUCGGCCACACUGGGACUGAGACACGGCCCAGACUCCUACGGGAGGCAGCAGUAGGGAAUCUUCCGCAAUGGACGAAAGUCUGACGGAGCAACGCCGCGUGAACGAUGAAGGUCUUCGGAUCGUAAAGUUCUGUUGUUAGGGAAGAACAAGUGCCAGAGGAAAUGCUGGUACCUUGACGGUACCUAACCAGAAAGCCACGGCUAACUACGUGCCAGCAGCCGCGGUAAUACGUAGGUGGCAAGCGUUGUCCGGAAUUAUUGGGCGUAAAGCGCGCGCAGGCGGUUCCUUAAGUCUGAUGUGAAAGCCCACAGCUCAACUGUGGAGGGCCAUUGGAAACUGGGGAACUUGAGUACAGAAGAGGAGAGUGGAAUUCCACGUGUAGCGGUGAAAUGCGUAGAUAUGUGGAGGAACACCAGUGGCGAAGGCGACUCUCUGGUCUGUAACUGACGCUGAGGCGCGAAAGCGUGGGUAGCAAACAGGAUUAGAUACCCUGGUAGUCCACGCCGUAAACGUUGAGUGCUAGGUGUUAGGGGGUUUCCGCCCCUUAGUGCUGAAGUUAACGCAUUAAGCACUCCGCCUGGGGAGUACGGCCGCAAGGCUGAAACUCAAAAGAAUUGACGGGGGCCCGCACAAGCGAUGGAGCAUGUGGUUUAAUUCGAAGCAACGCGAAGAACCUUACCAGGUCUUGACAUCUUCCGCUAUCCCUAGAGA
rnacentral:rRNA from 1 species